rnacentral:rRNA from 1 species
CGCUACGGCCAUACCACCCUGAAAGCGCCUGAUCUCGGAAGCUAAGCAGGGACAGGCUUGGUUAGUACCUGGAUGGGAGACCGCCUGGGAAUACCAGGUGUUGUAGGCU